rnacentral:lncRNA from 1 species
UGGAAAGCCCACAAUGUCCUCUUCAAUUACCAUCCAAAAUCUCAUUAUAAUUCCAAGGGAUUCGAUCGAAAAAUUGCCUUAAAAGUUGCCCAAAAAUUCUGAAAAUCUGCCCAGAUUUUCAGAUUUUUUGGACGACUUUUAAGGCAAUUUUUCGACAACUUUCGACCAUCAAAACUAUCUAAUUUUGAUACCAUUGAAAAGCCCACAAUGUCCUCUUCAAUUACCAUCCAAAAUUUCCCGAUAACUCCAAAGGAUUCGAUCGGAAUAAACUCACAAAGUCAG